rnacentral:snoRNA from 1 species
GUGAUACGAACGCCUUCUAUUCACUUUGCCAUCUUUUCUGUUGAUGAACGAAGGGGAAAAGAAGGCAAGAACAACAAUCAUGAGCGUCCUCAUACUGUCUUUUGCAAAAUCUUUUGUCUACAUAAGAUUAGUGUAUCGCAUUAAGUCGGUAACUGCGUGAAUGAGAUAUUU